GCCCGCGGAGAGGGGAGGCCGGCCGGGAUGACGUCCAUAGUGAUGUCACCCGCGCGACGCCGGAGACUGUCGCAGGGCGAUGAUGCCGAGGAGAGCAUCAUCCCCUCGCGCCCGCGGGGACUUUAAAAGUGGACUCCGGUCCGGAGGAAGGGACGGAUCCCAGGGAGCGGGAGCACCGCAGCAGGGACCAGGCGGAUCCGGACACUGGAGACCCUGGGAGAUAAGGUAUCACCCCCUACAACAGAGGAGGAGAAGCCUCGUACCCCCAAGGCUGGGAGGUCUGCUGCCACCACUGUGAAUGGGAAACGUAGGGUAAUAGUGGUCGGAGACACUCUUCUGAGGGGGACAGAGGUGCCCAUCUGUUGCCCUGACAUUUCAUCUCGGGAGGUAUGCUGUCUGCUGGGGGCCCAUAUAAGAGAUGUUGCAGAGGCAUUGUCGAGGAUUAUCCGGACCUCUGACUACUACCCCAUGCUACUCAUCUAUGUGGGCACAAAUGAUACUGUGAGGUGUGAGCAGAUCAAGAGUGACUACAGGGCUCUGGAAGUACGGGUGAAGGAGUUUGGAGCGCAGGUGGUAUUCUCUUCGAUCCUUCCUGUCGAAUGUAGGGGCCUGGGCAGAAAGACAGGUGCAUCCAGGAGGUGAAUGCCUGGCUGCGAAGAUGGUGUUGCCAGAAGGGCUUUGGCUUCCUCGACCAUGGGAUGCUAUUCCAGGAAGGACUGCUAGGCAGAGAUGGCGUUCACCUUUUGAGGAGGGGGAAGAUCCUAUUUGGACACAGACUGGCUAACCUAGUGAGGAGGGCUUUAAACUAGGUUCAACGGGGACAAGUGAGCAAAGCCCACGGAGAGCCAUUUCCCAACAGCAACAGAAAGAAAGUGGAUAUGAAUGCAAAAACCCAAGCAGUGGACCUUGGCACAAUUCCUGUUGAGAUUGAACCUUCCUGCUGCAGAACCCUCAGGCAUGGAGUGGUCCUGAACAAUGGAAUUUGCUGGACCAGGGGAGAUUAGACUUCCGGGCUCUCCCAGGGCUCUCCUCCUGGCUGCUGCCUUGGGAGAACGCAGAGGCCAGGCCUCCACCAGCUCAUCUGCCUGGCUCUGUUGCCCACUCCAUGGGCUCUGCUCUCUGUCUCCAGCCCCACACAGGAUGCUGCACCAGCUGCUCAUGCAGGGCGUACCACCCCGCCCGGGACAUGCUCCCGCACCCACAGUCUGCUCCGGACCACUAACACACAGCAGGAGUACUGGGACCAGCAUCUGGGGGCCCUCCGAGCCCUACACUGCACCGUUGAGGCCUGGAUGCAGGAAGACUUGCAGGUCCACCGGGAGGAGCUUGCGGAGGACCGAGCGAGGAACUGUCACCUGCAGACCCUGCUGCAGAGCAUGGUGCCCUGUGCCGGUCCUGUGCCUGCUGCCCCCCCAACAACUGCCGCCCCCACCUCUUCCUCCUCAGCCUCCACACUCUCCUCCUCAAUCUCCACACACCCCCACCUCAAGCUCCGUACCCUCCACCCCAUCUCCCUCGGGACACCGAGGCCCCCUCCCACGCUGUGCUGUGAGGCGGUUGGCCCAGUGAGACCCCCCCCCCGAUCCCUGAGCUUCCCCUCCCCCUUCUUCCCCUUGCUUCCCCCUUUCA